CCCUUAGAUGUCCGGGGCCGCACGCGCGCUACACUGAAGGAAUCAGCGUGGCUUUCUCCCUGACCCGAAAGGGUUGGGAAACCCGUUGAAUCUCCUUCGUGAUAGGGAUUGGGGCUUGAAAUUGUUCCCCAUGAACGAGGAAUUCCCAGUAAGCGCGAGUCAUAAGCUCGCGUUGAUUACGUCCCUGCCCUUUGUACACACCGCCCGUCGCUACUACCGAUUGAACGGUUUAGUGAGAUUUCCGGAUCGGCGUUGGGGAGCCGGCAACGGCACCCCUUGGCUGAGAAGUUACUCAAACUUGGUCAUUUAGAGGAAGUAAAAGUCAUAACA
rnacentral:rRNA from 1 species